AGAGUUUGAUUAUGGCUCAGGAUAAACGCUGGCGGCGUGCAUAACACAUUCAAGUCGAACGGAGUUGCCAAGUAGCAAUAUGAAGCAACUUAGUGGCGGACGGGUGAGUAACGCAUGAGCAACCUGCCCUUGUGAGCGGAAUAACGUCGGGAAACCGACGCUAAUACGGCAUAACGCACAGAUACCGCAUGGUGACUGUGUCAAAGAUUUUUAUCGCACAAGGAUGGGCUCGUGUCCGAUUAGUCAGUUGGUGAGGUAACGGCUCACCAAAACCGCGAUCGGUAGCCGGACUGAGAGGUUGAACGGCCACAUUGGAACUGAGAAACGGUCCAGACUCCUACGGGAGGCAGCAGUGGGGAAUAUUGGGCAAUGGCGAAAGCCUGAACCCCCAGCGACGCCGCGUGAGGGAAGAAGGUCUUCGGAUUGUAAACCUCUGUUGACAGGGACGAAAGCGGGGCAACCCGCGUGACGGUACUUGUCGAGGAAGCCACGACUAACUACGUGCCAGCCGCCGC
rnacentral:rRNA from 1 species